rnacentral:rRNA from 2 species
CAACGAGUGGCGGACGGGUGAGUAACACGUAGGUAACCUGCCCAGAAGCGGGGGACAACAUUUGGAAACAGAUGCUAAUACCGCAUAACAACGUUGUUCGCAUGAACAACGCUUAAAAGAUGGCUUCUCGCUAUCACUUCUGGAUGGACCUGCGGUGCAUUAGCUUGUUGGUGGGGUAACGGCCUACCAAGGCGAUGAUGCAUAGCCGAGUUGAGAGACUGAUCGGCCACAAUGGGACUGAGACACGGCCCAUACUCCUACGGGAGGCAGCAGUAGGGAAUCUUCCACAAUGGGCGCAAGCCUGAUGGAGCAACACCGCGUGAGUGAAGAAGGGUUUCGGCUCGUAAAGCUCUGUUGUUAAAGAAGAACACGUAUGAGAGUAACUGUUCAUACGUUGACGGUAUUUAACCAGAAAGUCACGGCUAACUACGUGCCAGCAGCCGCGGUAAUACGUAGGUGGCAAGCGUUAUCCGGAUUUAUUGGGCGUAAAGAGAGUGCAGGCGGUUUUCUAAGUCUGAUGUG